UUUGCAAUAUAAGUACUCCGUAGGCGUGAGGGUUUUAUAUCAGAAAAACUUUAACAUUGAAACAGAUGACAUAGCAAUCAAUCAUGUUUCAAAGUAAAAUUAUUGUCUGUGUACUGGUAGUGGUUUAUUUGAGUAUUGUAUAUGCAAGUCCAAUUAAAGACGAGUCAAACUCCGAUUUGGAUAAGAUAAACAAAGAAGAAAAAGCAUGCUUACCUAUUCCAAUAAUUGGACGUUAUUACAGUUUUAUUUUCCGCAUUCUUACCGAUUUAGUGCCGAUGCCAUCAUUUUUGUCUGAGUUCUUAAGAAAAACAUUUGUUUGCAACGCUUGAUAAAUGAUAUGUAUCUAAAAUACUUCACUGUUUACAUGAUUUUAAUAAAUUGAAUUAAACUAAA